UACGUAGGGGGCAAGCGUUGUCCGGAAUCAUUGGGCGUAAAGCGCGUGUAGGCGGUUUAGUAAGUCGGCUGUGAAAGUCAAGGGCUCAACCCUUGAAUGCCGGCCGAUACUGUGAGGCUAGAGUCCGGAAGAGGCGAGUGGAAUUCCUGGUGUAGCGGUGAAAUGCGCAGAUAUCAGGAGGAACACCGAUGGCGAAGGCAGCUCGCUGGGACGGUACUGACACUGAGGCGCGAAAGCGUGGGGAGCGAACAGG
rnacentral:rRNA from 1 species